rnacentral:rRNA from 1 species
UACGAAGGGUCCAAGCGUUAAUCGGAAUCACUGGGCUUAAAGGGUGCGUAGGCGGACAAGCAAGUGCUUUGUGAAAUACCACGGCUCAACCGUGGAACGGCUUGGCAUACUGCUUGUCUUGAGGUUGGUAGAGGGCGCCGGAACGCUAGGUGGAGCGGUGAAAUGCGUAGAUAUCUAGCGGAACGCCGAAGGAGAAGUCAGGCGCCUGGGCCGAUUCUGACGCUGAGGCACGAAAGCGUGGGUAGCGAACGGG